CACGAGUUUGACUCCUGGCUACAGAACGAACGCUGGCGGCAUGCCUAACACAUGCAAGUCGAACGAGACCUUCGGGUCUAGUGGCGCACGGGUGCGUAACGCGUGGGAACCUGCCUUUAGGUUCGGAAUAACUCAGAGAAAUUUGAGCUAAUACCGGAUAAUGUCUUCGGACCAAAGAUUUAUCGCCUUUAGAUGGGCCCGCGUUGGAUUAGCUAGUUGGUGGGGUAAAGGCCUACCAAGGCGACGAUCCAUAGCUGGUCUGAGAGGAUGAUCAGCCACACUGGGACUGAGACACGGCCCAGACUCCUACGGGAGGCAGCAGUGGGGAAUAUUGGACAAUGGGCGAAAGCCUGAUCCAGCAAUGCCGCGUGAGUGAUGAAGGCCUUAGGGUUGUAAAGCUCUUUUACCCGAGAUGAUAAUGACAGUAUCGGGAGAAUAAGCUCCGGCUAACUCCGUG
rnacentral:rRNA from 1 species